UACGUAGGGCGCAAGCGUUGUCCGGAAUUAUUGGGCGUAAAGAGCUCGUAGGCGGUUUGUUGCGUCGGCUGUGAAAUCCCGAGGCUCAACCUCGGGUCUGCAGUCGAUACGAGCAAACUAGAGUGUUGCAGGGGAGACUGGAAUUCCUGGUGUAGCGGUGAAAUGCGCAGAUAUCAGGAGGAACACCGGUGGCGAAGGCGGCUUGCUGGGCCUUACCUGACGCUGGAGGAGCGAAAGCGUGGGGAGCGAACAGG
rnacentral:rRNA from 1 species